AAGGGUGUAGCUCAGGGGUAGAGUGCGUACUUAGCAUACAUGAGGUCCUGGGUUCAAUCCCCAGCACCUCCA
rnacentral:tRNA from 1 species